CUCAUCCGAUCUGUUCAAUUAUAUCGAACAGGCUGUCAGCCGACGACUAUUCACAGGCGCGAUCCCACUACUGCUCGACACGGGGUCUUUUGCCUGCUGCGUUUCCGCCCUGGGCCGAAGCGACCCUCCUUAGACAACCUGGUCCCGAUGAGCUCCCU